rnacentral:rRNA from 1 species
GUGUCACUUUUGCUCAGACUACCGUUGGCAGGUCAUGCCGUAGGACCGUUGGACGCACCGGCUGGUUGGGAGCGAGCUCUUACACAACGUUUUCAUGGUGUUUUUCCGGAUGCUCCGGAUCCGGUAUGGGAGCAUCACGGACCUAAGUAUGAGUGGUUGCUAAAUUUCCGGAUCCAGAACUUCCGGGCGCCGUUGACUGCGGAACAGAUCACUCGGAGCCUGGAGGCCUACUUAUUGUGGCUUUUCGGCAAGGUGCUGUUCACAGAGAACCAUGUCACCACUAUUAGCGCCCUCUACAUCCCUAUGGCACUCGAGAUAGCGAGCGCUCAGACGGCGGAUCAGAUCAGACAGAGGAGUUGGGGUUUGGCGGUCUUAGCGGCUACAUACCGAGGUAUGUGCAACGGUUGCCAGCUUACAUCGAGAAAAGACGCUUUG